UACGGAGGGUGCAAGCGUUAUCCGGAUUCACUGGGUUUAAAGGGUGCGUAGGUGGGUUGGUAAGUCAGUGGUGAAAUCUCCGGGCUUAACUCGGAAACUGCCAUUGAUACUAUCUUUCUUGAAUACCGUGGAGGUCAGCGGAAUAUGUCAUGUAGCGGUGAAAUGCUUAGAUAUGACAUAGAACACCAAUUGCGAAGGCAGCUGGCUACACGAAUAUUGACACUGAUGCACGAAAGCGUGGGGAUCAAACAGG
rnacentral:rRNA from 1 species